rnacentral:rRNA from 1 species
UGAGGAAUAUUGGACAAUGGAGGCAACUCUGAUCCAGCCAUGCCGCGUGCAGGAAGACGGCCCUAUGGGUUGUAAACUGCUUUUAUACAGGAAGAAACACUCCCUCGUGAAGGGAGCUUGACGGUACUGUAAGAAUAAGGACCGGCUAACUCCGUGCCAGCAGCCGCGGUAAUACGGAGGGUCCGAGCGUUAUCCGGAAUCAUUGGGUUUAAAGGGUCCGUAGGCGGGUAGUUAAGUCAGUGGUGAAAGUUUGCAGCUCAACUGUAAAAUUGCCAUUGAUACUGAUUAUCUUGAAUUAUUAUGAAGUGGUUAGAAUAAGUAGUGUAGCGGUGAAAUGCAUAGAUAUUACU